AACGUAGGUACCGAGCGUUAUCCGGAUUUACUGGGCGUAAAGCGCGUUCAGGCGGUUUGGCAAGUCGGGCAUGAAAUCUCUCGGCUCAACCGGGAGAGGUUGUCCGAUACUUCCAGACUUGAGGGCAGUAGAGGGUGGUGGAAUUCCGGGUGUAGUGGUGAAAUGCGUAGAGAUCGGGAGGAACACCAGUGGCGAAGGCGGCCGGCUGGGCCAUACCUGACGCUGAGGCGCGAAAGCGUGGGGAGCGAACCGG
rnacentral:rRNA from 1 species